rnacentral:rRNA from 1 species
GCCCCGUACACAAAAAUGCACAUAUUGUGAGCUCGAUGAGUAGGGCGGGACACGUGGUAUCCUGUCUGAAUAUGGGGGGACCAUCCUCCAAGGCUAAAUACUCCUGACUGACCGAUAGUGAACCAGUACCGUGAGGGAAAGGCGAAAAGAACCCCGGCGAGGGGAGUGAAAAAGAACCUGAAACCGUGUACGUACAAGCAGUGGGAGCCUCUUAAUGGGGUGACUGCGUACCUUUUGUAUAAUGGGUCAGCGACUUAUAUUCUGUAGCAAGGUUAACCGAAUAGGGGAGCCGAAGGGAAACCGAGUCUUAACUGGGCGUUAAGUUGCAGGGUAUAGACCCGAAACCCGGUGAUCUAGCCAUGGGCAGGUUGAAGGUUGGGUAACACUAACUGGAGGACCGAACCGACUAAUGUUGAAAAAUUAGCGGAUGACUUGUGGCUGGGGGUGAAAGGCCAAUCAAACCGGGAGAUAGCUGGUUCUCCCCGAAAGCUAUUUAGGUAGCGCCUCGUGAAUUCAUCUCCGGGGGUAGAGCACUGUUUCGGCAAGGGGGUCAUCCCGACUUACCAACCCGAUGCAAACUGCGAAUACCGGAGAAUGUUAUCACGGGAGACACACGGCGGGUGCUAACGUCCGUCGUGAAGAGGGAAACAACCCAGACCGCCAGCUAAGGUCCCAAAGUCAUGGUUAAGUGGGAAACGAUGUGGGAAGGCCCAGACAGCCAGGAUGUUGGCUUAGAAGCAGCCAUCAUUUAAAGAAAGCGUAAUAGCUCACUGGUCGAGUCGGCCUGCGCGGAAGAUGUAACGGGGCUAAACCAUGCACCGAAGCUGCGGCAGCGACACUAUGUGUUGUUGGGUAGGGGAGCGUUCUGUAAGCCUGUGAAGGUGUACUGUGAGGUAUGCUGGAGGUAUCAGAAGUGCGAAUGCUGACAUAAGUAACGAUAAAGCGGGUGAAAAGCCCGCUCGCCGGAAGACCAAGGGUUCCUGUCCAACGUUAAUCGGGGCAGGGUGAGUCGACCCCUAAGGCGAGGCCGAAAGGCGUAGUCGAUGGGAAACAGGUUAAUAUUCCUGUACUUGGUGUUACUGCGAAGGGGGGACGGAGAAGGCUAUGUUGGCCGGGCGACGGUUGUCCCGGUUUAAGCGUGUAGGCUGGUUUUCCAGGCAAAUCCGGAAAAUCAAGGCUGAGGCGUGAUGACGAGGCACUACGGUGCUGAAGCGACAAAUGCCCUGCUUCCAGGAAAAGCCUCUAAGCAUCAGGUAACAUCAAAUCGUACCCCAAACCGACACAGGUGGUCAGGUAGAGAAUACCAAGGCGCUUGAGAGAACUCGGGUGAAGGAACUAGGCAAAAUGGUGCCGUAACUUCGGGAGAAGGCACGCUGAUAUGUAGGUGAAGCGACUUGCUCG